AUGAAGGGAGCUUGCUCCUGGAUUCAUCGGCGGACGGGUGAGUAAUGCCUAGGAAUCUGCCUGGUAGUGGGGGAUAACGUCCGGAAACGGGCGCUAAUACCGCAUACGUCCUGAGGGAGAAAGUGGGGGAUCUUCGGACCUCACGCUAUCAGAUGAGCCUAGGUCGGAUUAGCUAGUUGGUGGGGUAAAGGCCUACCAAGGCGACGAUCCGUAACUGGUCUGAGAGGAUGAUCAGUCACACUGGAACUGAGACACGGUCCAGACUCCUACGGGAGGCAGCAGUGGGGAAUAUUGGACAAUGGGCGAAAGCCUGAUCCAGCCAUGCCGCGUGUGUGAAGAAGGUCUUCGGAUUGUAAAGCACUUUAAGUUGGGAGGAAGGGCAGUAAGUUAAUACCUUGCUGUUUUGACGUUACCAACAGAAUAAGCACCGGCUAACUUCGUGCCAGCAGCCGCGGUAAUACGAAGGGUGCAAGCGUUAAUCGGAAUUACUGGGCGUAAAGCGCGCGUAGGUGGUUCAGCAAGUUGGAUGUGAAAUCCCCGGGCUCAACCUGGGAACUGCAUCCAAAACUACUGAGCUAGAGUACGGUAGAGGGUGGUGGAAUUUCCUGUGUAGCGGUGAAAUGCGUAGAUAUAGGAAGGAACACCAGUGGCGAAGGCGACCACCUGGACUGAUACUGACACUGAGGUGCGAAAGCGUGGGGAGCAAACAGGAUUAGAUACCCUGGUAGUCCACGCCGUAAACGAUGUCGACUAGCCGUUGGGAUCCUUGAGAUCUUAGUGGCGCAGCUAACGCGAUAAGUCGACCGCCUGGGGAGUACGGCCGCAAGGUUAAAACUCAAAUGA
rnacentral:rRNA from 1 species